CCGUUGCUGGCAUCGAUUUUUGCAAUCUACUUUCUGCGCAUCUUAAUCGAAUACAUCCUCAGCCAUCACUUCUGAUUACUUCCAUUUGGUGGAGAGUUGUAUUUGAUGGGAAAGUUGGUACCUCUAUUUUACUAAACUACCCAGCCUUUAUCUUUCCGUUUGCUCAGUUUCUCUUUUUUCCUUAUUUCCUGCUCAUGGACAUAUUUGUAAAAAUGAAGUGACCGUCAUUGUUGCCUUCUGCCAAACAUCACCUUUCAGCCUUGCUCUGUUCAGGGAUAAUCCGGUGUUUUCCCUUUGUACAGUGGUUGUUACCAUUACCUGGUUUGUUCUAGCAGAACCUCGGCGGCUUACUAUCAUGAUCGGCAGUAGAUCUACAGCUGCUGCAUCCUCCAUUCUAAUCCCUUUCGGCUGCUUUUUUUCUAGACAGAAUAGAGCUUGCAAAGUUGCUAUCUCUGCUGUUUUGCUGCUUUUGUAUGCUCGAUUUUAUCGUGGUACCGCCUGCUUUUCUCUGAUUCUGCCCCGAAGCUUUUUUUGCAGCCAGACAGGUUAGUGUUUCUGGUUCUCCUCUCUUUCCUAUUUCUUUUAUAUUUUGCUAUCUAUAUUCCGUCUCUAUCACUUGUAUUUUCUGCUAUGUGGUUGGUUGCAUCUUCUUAGAGCCUCACUUCUUUGACUUGAAUUGCGGGAGCUUAUUUACUACUUCCCGAAACUUUUGGAUGACUUUGUUGGGUUAACAAGGAGCUUUUCAACUCCUGUUCCUGUACUAUUACUGCUGAAGGAUGGAAAUUAUAGACAGCCUUGCAUUUCAUGCUGAACUAUUUUUUGUUACUUAUUUUAUGUGUCCAUUUCGUUUGUUUGCUGCUUAUUUCCUAGCUGUUGGAUUUCUUAUCUUCCUGCUCGUUGCUUGCUUAUUAAUUUUAGCUUGGACAUUUACAGACCUGUUUCCUUUUUUUGUGUUUUUAUUUGUUCAAUCUUGUGUAACACUUGUUAUAUUA